UUUUGUCAUUAAAAUUAUUUUUAGGGUGCUAUUGAUGGCAUUGGAAGACUUUUGAGUUGAUUAGUAGCUCGAUUGAGGUAACCAACAUUGAAGAUCAAAGAUUGGGCAAAAAAGAUCAGUUUGUAAUCUUUAUUUGAGUUUUAUUUUUUCAAUUUGAGAUGUCUUCUAUGGGGUCGGUUUACUAAGGCUGGAGAUCCAAGAUGGAAAUAUUGUGUUAACCCGGAUAAGAAUGAUAGGAAUAAAAUUAUGUGCAAUUUCUGUGGACCUGUUUCUAAUGCCGGCAUAAAUAGAUUUAAGAAAUACCUUGCCAGUAUUAGAGGUGAUGUUGCCCCAUGUAAGAAAGUCCUCGAGCUUGUAAAGAAAGAAAUUUAUGAAUACGUUGAAGGUGAAAAGAGUAAUUUUUUUUUAAAAAAAAGAUAUAGCAGAAUUAAAGUCAGGGGUCCAUGUAUUUUAUGAUAAUAUUGACACUGAAGAAGAGGAUGAAGAGGGGGAAGAAGAGGUAGCCAUGGUUGGUACUCAGAGUUCUAAGAGCAAGAGGGCUUUGGGGUCUAAGAAGCCUCGUAUGAGAGGGCCUAUAGAUAGUUUUUUUACUCCUGGCUCUGAGACAGUAAUUGAGAAAGGCAAAGGAGGAAAGGGAAAAAUACAAGUGACAAUUGAAAAUAGAUUUAAGAAGGAAGAUAGAGGCAGGGUGAUUAAGUAUAUUGAAAAUUAUGUGUGAUAAUGUUAAAUACCUAAAUUAAUUAUAAAGUUUGCCCACAUAUUGCAGCCCAAUGGUGGAGACAACAUGCGAGUAGCGUUCCAAACCUCUAGAAGAUGGCUAUACGGAUCUUGAGUUUGACAACUACCUCUUUUGGUUGUGAGCUCAAUUGGAGUUCAUUUGAGAUGGUGCAUACAAAGAGAAGAAAUAUGCUUGAGAAAAAGAAGCUCAAUGACUUUGUUUUUGUUAGAGAGAAUCAAAGGUUCAAGGAGAAGAAAAACCAGCCAAAGAAGGAUCCUAUCUCUUUGAAAGCCAUGGAGAAUGCUUCAGAUUGGCUAGUUGGUGACCUUGGUACUGAGGAGGUCUUCCUUGGGGAGUCUUCCUUGGGGAGGGUUUGACAUGGGAAAUGGUCGAAGAGGCUUCAGGGCAUGCUUCUAAUCCUAGGAGGGCCAAUUGAGGAACUUCUUCUGCUGGUACUUCACAAUCACGGAGGGAGAUAGAGGAAGAGGAGGCAGAUUCAGAAGAAUCUUUGGAAGAAGAGGAAUAUGUUGAAGAGGGUGGUGAUUCUGAUGAUGACGGCUUCGAUUCUAAUGCAGAUAGAAGCAAUGAAGAUGAUGAUUCUGAUUCUUAUUGAUGUCUUCUCUCUUCUUUUGUAGUAACUUUAUUGCACCAUCUUGAUUUGGACUUUAGACAUUUUGGACUAUUUUGUUAUGUGGUUUAUAUUUUUUUUACCUUUUUGGAUUAUUUUGUUGUGUGGUUUAAUGGUUUUUUAUUUCAGAAGUUAGUUUGUUGAAGACUUGGAGACUUGGAUGUUAUUAUGGUUUUUUUUAUGGA